rnacentral:rRNA from 1 species
GUAGCUGGCCACGCAAGUCCAUCGGGAAAUCUACUCGCUCAACGAGUAGGCGUCCGGUGGAAACUGCAUGGCUUGGGACCGGAAGAUCCAGAGGGUACGUCUGGGGUAGGAGUGAAAUCCUGUAAUCCGAGACGGACCACCGGUGGCGAAAGCGCUCUGGAAAGACGGAUCCGACGGUGAGGGACGAAAGCUCGGGUCACGAACCGGAUUAGAUACCCGGGUAGUCCGAGCUGUAAACGAUGUCUGCUAGGUGUGGCACAGGCUACGAGCCUGUGCUGUGCCGUAGGGAAGCCGUGAAGCAGACCGCCUGGGAAGUACGUCUGCAAGGAUGAAACUUAAAGGAAUUGGCGGGGGAGCACUACAACCGGAGGAGCCUGCGGUUUAAUUGGACUCAACGCCGGACAUCUCACCAGCAUCGACAGUGUGCAGUGAAAGUCAGUGUGAUGAGCUUACUGGAGCCACUGAGAGGAGGUGCAUGGCCGCCGUCAGCUCGUACCGUGAGGCGUCCUGUUAAGUCAGGCAACGAGCGAGACCCGCACCCUUAAUUGCCAGCAACACCCUUGAGGUGGUUGGGUACAUUAAGAGGACUGCCAGUGCCAAACUGGAGGAAGGAACGGGCAACGGUAGGUCAGUAUGCCCCGAAUGUGCUGGGCUACACGCGGGCUACAAUGGUCGAGACAGUGGGAUGCUACGCCGAAAGGCGACGCUAAUCUCCGAAACUCGAUCGUAGUUCGGAUUGCGGGCUGAAACUCGCCCGCAUGAAGCUGG